UAUUGUGCUGUACCGUAAGGCUACGGCUGUACAUCCAGCGCUCUCUGAUGACGCAUGCGCAGAGCCGGGAGUUCUCUCGCUCCGCUCCGUCGAAGGACGCCAUUGCUGUGUUGUUAUUAGCUUCAUUAACUCGUUCUGUGGCAGGGAAUCCUCUCUCAUCAGAAUCUAGAGAUGAAUGAUGCCUGUUUGUCCGCACAACAGAGGAUCUUCGACCGUCUGGCUUCGAACCCGCAACCCUUUAGUCCACUUCACUGAUCCAUGAUUUACAAGUGUAAAAAUUAAGUAGGAUGCUGCGAAUACAAAUGCUAUCAGCUGCAGAAUUGGCAGAUACUUGCUGGAGCUGUAGAUUGGGAUCAUCGGUCUCACAGUAUCCAAUAAAGGACACUGAAUGGUCGAAACGAAGACAAAAAAGCUGAUAAUAUGUAAACACAAUAUAUAUGUAUGUUUUAAUGAAACAUAUUUAUGUUAUAAAUAAUAUGUAUGUUUUUUACAUGUUACCUAGCUGAUAAUAUGUAAAAAAAAAAUGAAUAAAAAAA